rnacentral:rRNA from 1 species
UAGGGAAUCUUCCACAAUGGGCGAAAGCCUGAUGGAGCAACGCCGCGUGUGUGAAGAAGGUUUUCGGAUCGUAAAGCUCUGUUGUAAGAGAAGAACGUGUGUGAGAGUGGAAAGUUCACACAGUGACGGUAACUUACCAGAAAGGGACGGCUAACUACGUGCCAG